rnacentral:rRNA from 1 species
GACAGAGGUGCCAAGCGUUAGGCGGAAUCACUGGGCUUAAAGCGUGUGUAGGCGGAGUUCUAAGUACCUUGUGAAAUCCCACGGCUUAACCGUGGAACUGCUUGGUAUACUGGUUCUCUUGGGCCAUCUAGGGGUUACCGGAACAAACGGUGGAGCGGUGAAAUGCGUAGAUAUCGUUUGGAACGCCAAUGGUGAAAACAGGUAACUGGGGAUGUGCCGACGCUGAGACACGAAAGCCAGGGGAGCGAACGGG